CCUUUUUCAGAACAAUGCUAGGACCUAUUAUGGAAUAUGUGGCAUCAGUCUGUAUAUAUGAGUCUCAACAAAUAAUAAAGAUGAGAAAAAAACAGAUGCACUCUGAACUGUUAAUGUUCCAGAAAACAUCUGCAUGAUAGAAAUACACAGCAACGGGAGUUUGAACAUUUUAAUCGAUCAAAUUGUUAUCACAUCACCAACAAACAUAGAAGAAAGAGUAAUUCCAUGCUUCCAAAUUUUAAGGAGUAGAAAGGAGUUUCAUCACAUCUACUUCCAUGGGUAGAAACCAUCCAGUUUUGCUGAUCACACUGCUACGUGGCUUCUGACCUCGGACACCUGGAAAAUGAAGACUACUGUACUUUCCAUCAUUUAAGUAUUUAGGAAUCCACAAGAUCACAGACACCAUCAACAUUAUCAUCUUAAUAUUGUGUGGUCCCUGUUUCUGUGGUCAUGUUACAAGAAGUUGGAUAUGAAAUUAACUGUGCACAAUGCUGGAAAGCUCUGGUGAAGAAUGUACACCAAAUCACUUUAAGGUCUGCUCAAUGCACUGUACAGCAUUAUCACUGAAUUACCAUUAGAUGUAUUUAGGAAAUCAUUCAAAGCCAUGGCUAUUGCUUUAAAGCAGUGUGCAUAGCUCCACCCUUUUAAACUCAAGCAUAAAUGGUUUGUGACUGAUACUGGUUAGUUCUGCUUGUCUAACACGUGCCACGCCUUCUGUUUCUGAGUACAGUUAAUCUUUGUUUAAACUAUCACUGGUGACUCCUUUAAUUUUCAACAAAUUUCAGUUAUGUUUCUCUACUUUCUUACUGCUAGUGUUUAGCUUUUUCAUUGUGCUCAUUUCUAAUUUUUUACUGAAUCUGUGUCCUUGUAAUGAAAGACUGUUUGUGAUUUAUGUCUUUACAUGAGCUGUCAAGAGUCUUGCCAACAACUAAUCUAAAGUCUAACCCCUUAUCAGUGGCUGAGACUGCUGUCAGCAAAGUGGUAGAGCACAAUACUCAGUGACACUGACUAACUGGUACAAGCAGAGCCUCUGAAACAGAUGAUGCCUAAAUAAAAGAGCUAUGGUAGAAAAUGCAUUUGUAUAUCUAAACUGGUACUGUAUUUUCUCCUAAAAUACUAUACUUUUUCAGUUCUGUUUCUAUGUUAGGCUUGAUAUCAUAAUACUAUUUAUGAAUGUAGGCUCAACAGGUGAAAGACACUUCAGUUGUGUCAUGAAGCGAUAUCACUCGGUAUUCUAGAAUCUAGUGCUUGACUGCACUGUAUACAUGUAGUACUACAGCUUACAUCAUGGGUGUGUGCUGUUAUUUACAUGCGCACUGCCUCUGCUCAAACUAUGGUGAUGUUUACAUCCGAGUUUGAUUACCGUUUUAAGAACAACACAGUGGUUUUGUAACAACUUUAAAUAAUUACUUAAAAUUAGAUGGUCUUAUUUUUAUCAUAUUGUUCGGUCCUUAUCAAUUAGAACUUUUGCAGUGUUGCAUUUAUUUGGAUAAUUAAUGAGCAGCACUGUAUGGAAAUGGUACAACAUAGCUUCAUUGUUUAAUAACUGCUUUUCCAUGACACUGAUCAGUUAUUGCAGUGCCUGUUAUCUGUCCCAUUUAAAUACAGUAGUAGCAUCUUUGUUCUCAAACAACAGUAGGAUAGAUAUGCAGUAUGAUAUUCUUUUUUCUUAGUAAUAAUUAACUGCCUUAUUUUGUUACUCAUCUAUAUUAACAUCAUUGUGUGAGUAUUCCUUUUUGUGAGUGUGCAUCUGCACUUUAAUGAGACAGAAUGCUUGCUGGAAAAUUGUGAAAAACAGUGCAUUUAGUUACCAAGGAAUUUCUGAUUCCUUUGAAAGUUAUCAGUUUCUGAGGAAUCAGAUCGCAGAAUAGCCUUAUCCAGGACAGGAUUGGGCAACCAGCAGUUUUACUUUAUAUGGCAGAAUUCUCUACUUUGUGACAUUUAUGUUUGCAAACAGUGCUUUAGAUCAUAAUGAACAAUCCUUAUAGGGUAGAGCUGUACUGCAGAAUGAAUCUUUACCACACACUUUAUUACAGUUUUGUGACCUCGGCUGUACAGCAAUAUGGUGCAGUUUAUACAUUUUACAUUAUUAAAUUAUAUUUAAUUGAAGAUCACUAAAGAUCUUGUCUAAAGGCACAAAACAACCUCUUCUUUUUCUGUAAAAAAGUGUUCCCAUGCAUCUUUAUUCAUGUGAAAAAGUGUUUGCACUAAUGAUUGUUUUUUUGUGUCAGAUUUUCAAUUACAUAACAAAUUUACAAUUGCCUCCCUACUAACUAGAGCUGGAACCCAAAAUGACAGAAGUGCCUUUUGCCUCCCCAUGAAUAUUCAUGCCAUAAACACGGCUCAGUAUGUUUUGUCUUCUGCAUUUGGAAGCAAUCUUUUGAAGUUUGUAUUUUGUAAAGGCUCCAAAAUGCACUUUUCUUUUCAUACAAAAACAUAUUCACAUGCUUAAAGAUGCAUGCACACACUUUUUUGUUUGGAAAAAAGUUUGUUUUCUGUCUUUAAACAUGAUCUUUAACUCAUCUACAGAAAUAAGUGUCCAGAUUGUAAUGACUGUGUAAUAUGCAGCCAGUAAAAUUUUUGUACACCCAUUCUAUACCAACCUUGUAGUGCUGAGAAUGAAAAUGAAUGUUAUUAAUUAUAGGAAUCUCCUGGAGUUCUGAGGGUGAGGCCAGACAACAGUAGUGCAGUCUGCACUGCACCUAGGAUGGGACACCAAGAAGUGUGAGUGCUAAAUCACUUCCACAUCUUUGGAUGUUUCAUGGUUGGGAGAAGAUUUCAAGCUGCUCCCGUGAAAAAGCUUAUAGUUCUUACCAAAUAAUUUGUGAAAUGUAUCUCUGUUCACUGAUUAUGUUUGGCACCUGUAACUUCAUAUACAUGUAUGUAUGCACAGCAAUUAAAAUAUUUGUGGCAAAUAAAAUGCUUAACUCCUAAAA